rnacentral:tRNA from 1 species
GGGGAUUUAGCUCAGUGGUAGAGCGCUUGCUUAGCAAGUGCAAGGCCCUGGGUUCAAUCCUCAGCUCCA